CCUACGGGAGGCAGCAGUAGGGAAUCUUUCACAAUGGGCGAAAGCCUGAUGGAGCAACGCCGCGUGCAGGAUGAAGGCCUUCGGGUUGUAAACUGCUUUUAUAAGCGAGGAAUAUGAUGGUAACUUAUGAAUAAGGAUCGGCUAACUACGUGCCAGCAGCCGCGGUCAUACGUAGGAGCAGAGCAUUAUCCGGUGUGACUGGGUGCAAAGAGUUGCGUAGGUGGCAUAAUAAGUAGCUAGUGAAAUCUGGUGGCUCAACCAUUCAGACUAUUAGCGAAACUGUUAAGCUCGAGACCGUUAGGGGUAACUGGAAUUUCUAGUGUAGGAGUGAAAUGCGUAGAUAUUAGGAAGAACACCAGUAGCGUAGGCAGGUUACUGGGACGGUUCUGACACUAAGGCACGAAAGCGUAGGGAGCAAACAGGAUUAGAUACCCGAGUAGUC
rnacentral:rRNA from 1 species